rnacentral:sRNA from 1 species
CGAUCUGCUGCGGGCUGAUGAAGUGAAUGUGCGUGUCAAUGCCGCCCGCGGUGACGAUCAUGCCCUCGCCCGCCAGCGCCUCGGUAGACGCGCCGACCGUCAUGCCCGGCGUGACGCCGUCCAUGGUAUCCGGAUUGCCCGCCUUGCCGAUGCCGGCGAUUUUGCCGUCCUUGAUGCCGAUGUCCGCCUUGACAAUGCCGGUGGCGUCGACGAUCAGCGCGUUGGUGAUGACGAGAUCGAGGUCGCCGUCCGCGCUGCGCGAGCGAACCGACUGACCCAUGCCGUCGCGC